GACGAACGCUGGCGGCGUGCUUAACACAUGCAAGUCGAACGGUGAAGCUCCAGCUUGCUGGAGUGGAUCAGUGGCGAACGGGUGAGUAACACGUGAGCAACCUGCCCCUGACUCUGGAAUAAGCGCUGGAAACGGCGUCUAAUACUGGAUACGAGAAGGGUCCGCAUGGGCACUUUCUGGAAAGUUUUUCGGUUGGCGAUGGGCUCGCGGCCUAUCAGCUUGUUGGUGAGGUAAUGGCUCACCAAGGCGACGACGGGUAGCCGGCCUGAGAGGGCGACCGGCCACACUGGGACUGAGACACGGCCCAGACUCCUACGGGAGGCAGCAGUGGGGAAUAUUGCACAAUGGGCGAAAGCCUGAUGCAGCGACGCCGCGUGAGGGAUGACGGCCUUCGGGUUGUAAACCUCUUUCAGCAGGGAAGAAGCGAAAGUGACGGUACCUGCAGAAGAAGCACCGGCUAACUACGUG
rnacentral:rRNA from 1 species